AGAGUUUGAUCCUGGCUCAGGAUGAACGCUGACAGAAUGCUUAACACAUGCAAGUCUACUUGAUCCUUCGGGUGAUGGUGGCGGACGGGUGAGUAACGCGUAAAGAACUUGCCUUGCAGUCUGGGACAACGUCUGGAAACGGACGCUAAUACCGGAUAUUAUGAUUGAAUCGCAUGAUUUAAUUAUGAAAGCUAUAUGCGCUGCGAGAGAGCUUUGCGUCCCAUUAGUUAGUUGGUGAGGUAACGGCUCACCAAGACGAUGAUGGGUAGCCGGCCUGAGAGGGUGAACGGCCACAAGGGGACUGAGACACGGCCCUUACUCCUACGGGAGGCAGCAGUGGGGAAUAUUGGACAAUGGACCAAAAGUCUGAUCCAGCAAUUCUGUGUGCACGAUGAAGUUUUUCGGAAUGUAAAGUGCUUUCAGUUGGGAAGAAGAAAGUGACGGUACCAACAGAAGAAGCGACGGCUAAAUACGUG
rnacentral:rRNA from 1 species